UAUAAUGUUCUGACUCUUUAUUAUUUGAAAUUUUUUACGAUUAAUAUUUUUAUUAUUAUUAGAUGAUAAAAUAUAAAUAGUACUUUAUACGUGACUAAUUUUUUAAGUUUUUAUAUAUUUUUUUCAAAUAAGGUGAAUGGUCAAACGUUGUACACGGAAAAAC
rnacentral:pre_miRNA from 1 species